rnacentral:rRNA from 1 species
GAUGAACGCUGGCGGCGUGCCUAAUACAUGCAAGUCGAGCGAACAGGUGAGGAGCUUGUUGCUCGCUCGUGAGCGGAACACGGGUGAGAAACGCGAGGAUAAUGCCCUUAUCUUAGUGGUAUCACCUGGGGACAGCGGCGCAAACACCGGAGAAUAUCUUGCACCACAGUGUGCGUUAGUAAAAGUCGGUUGUGUCGGCGGGAGUAGCUGGAUCCGCGCCUGAUUAGGUAGUUGGUGAGGUAGCAGCUUACGAAGGCUAGGACGCGUAGCCGGCCUGAGAGGGUGACCGGCCACAUUGGGACUGAGAGACGGACCAGACUCCUACGGGAGGCAGAAGUGGGGAAUAUUGCACAAUGGGCGGAAGCCUGAUGCAGCAACGCCGCGUGCGGGAUGACGGCCUUCGGGUUGUAAACCGCUUUCGCCUGUGACGAAGCGUGAGUGACGGUAAUGGGUAAAGAAGCACCGGCUAACUACGUG